CGAAAGUUACUCUAACAAACACUUGAAUACACGACAGCUUGGGACAAACUGAGAUUAGAUACCCCACUAUGCCAAGCCGUAAAAUUAAAUUACACUACCAACGCCAGGGAAUUACGAGCCUAAGCCUAAAACCCAAAGGACUUGACGGUGACCCACCCAUCUAGAGGAGCCUGUUCUAUAAUCGAUAAUCCACGCUAUACCUUACCGUUUCUUGCUUCUCAGCUUGUAUACCUCCGUCGUAAAUUCACCGUUUGAACGAAUAGUAGUGUGUCUGACGACCACCCGCCAACACGUCAGGUCAAGGUGCAGCUCAUGAAACGGAAAGCAAUGGGCUACAAUUUCUAACAUAGAAUAAACGAAAAACUGUAUGAAACACAGCUAUGAAGGCGGAUUUAGUAGUAAAUGGGGAAUAGAGAGCCCCCUUUAAUCUGGCCCUGGGACAUGUACAAACCGCCCGUCACCCUCUUCAA
rnacentral:rRNA from 1 species